CAACCAUAUCACGUUAAAACACCGUUUUCCAUACGAUCACCGAAGUUAAGCAACGUCGAACCUGGUCAGUAUCUAGAUGGAUGAGAGCUUGGGAAUACCAGCUUCUGU